UGUAAACAUCCUACACUCUCAGCUGUGGAAACUAAGAAAGCUGGGAGGAGGCUGUUUACU
rfam:Nipponia nippon contig129923, whole genome shotgun sequence.